rnacentral:rRNA from 1 species
CUUGACGAUCAUAGAGCGUUGGAACCACCUGAUCCCUUCCCGAACUCAGAAGUGAAACGACGCAUCGCCGAUGGUAGNUCUGGUGUUCCGGUUGUCACGCCAGUGGCAUUGCCGGGU